rnacentral:misc_RNA from 1 species
GAAAUGCGAUAAGUAAUGUGAAUUGCAGAAUUCAGUGAAUCAUCGAAUCUUUGAACGCACAUUGCGCCCGCCAGUAUUCUGGCGGGCAUGCCUGUUCGAGCGUCAUUUCAACCAUCAAGCCCCGCGCUUGUGUUGGGGACCUGCGGCUGCCGCAGGCCCUGAAAACCAGUGGCGGGCUCGCUGUCACACCGAGCGUAGUAGCAUACAUCUCGCUCUGGGCGUGCUGCGGGUUCCGGCCGUUAAACCACCUUCGUAACCCAAGGUUGACCUCGGAUCAGGUAGGAAGACCCGCUGAACUUAAGC